rnacentral:rRNA from 1 species
UUUUCCGGUUGAUCCCGCCGGACCUUACUGCUAUCGGGUUGAGACUAAGCCAUGCAAGUCGAGCGUUUUCAAGCUAUGUUGAAAGCGCGGCAUAAGGCUCCGUAACACGUAGUUAACCUACCCUCAGGAUGGAGAUAACCCCUGGGAAACUGGGACUAAUAUCCAAUAAAUGAUUAUGCCUGGAAUGGUUUAUCAUUGAAAGGGCUGAAUACAUGCUUUCAGUAUCACCUGAGGAUGGGACUGCGUCCGAUCAGGUUGUUGGCGGGGUAACGGCCCACCAAGCCUAUAACCGGUACGGGCCCUGAGAGGGGGAGCCCGGAGAUGGAAACUGAGACAAGGUUCCAGGCCCUACGGGGCGCAGCAGGCGCGAAACCUCCACAAUGCGCGAAAGCGUGAUGGGGUUAGCCCGAGUGCUGUCCGAAAAGGAUGGCUUUUCCUUGGCGUAAAAACCCAGGGGAAUAAAGGGGGGGCAAGACUGGUGUCAGCCGCCGCGGUAAUACCAGCCCCCUGAGUGGUAAGGACGAUUAUUUGGCUUAAAGCGUCCGUAGCCGGCUUAGUGAGUCUCUUGUUAAAUCCAAUGAUUCAAUCAUUGAACUGCAAGAGAUACUACUAUGCUAGAGGACGGGAGAGGUCGACGGUAGUCCAAGGGUAGGGGUGAAAUCCUAUAAUCCUUGGAGGACCACCAGUGGCGAAGGCGGUCGACUAGAACGUGCCUGACGGUGAGGGACGAAAGCUGGGGGAGCGAACCGGAUUAGAUACCCGGGUAGUCCCAGCUGUAAACGAUGCGGGCUAGGUGUAGGGGCAGCUACGAGCUGCUCCUGUGCCGCAGAGAAAUUGUUAAGCCCGCCGCCUGGGGAGUACGAUCGCAAGAUUGAAACUUAAGGGAAUUGGCGGGGGAGCACCACAAGGGGUGAAGGCUGCGGUUUAAUUGGAGUCAACGC